rnacentral:rRNA from 1 species
CAAUAGCGUAUAUUAAAGUUGUUGCAGUUAAAAAGCUCGUAGUUGGAUUUCUGGGCUCGGUCUCCGGUCCGCCGAAAGGUGUGCACUGUGGACCCGGUCCUUUCCUCCCGACGUUCACGGGUGGGCUUAACUGUCUGCUCGUGGGACUCGGGACCUUUACUUUGAAAAAAUUAGAGUGUUCAAAGCAGGCCUUCGCUUGAAUACAUUAGCAUGGAAUAAUGGAAUAGGACUUUGGUUCUAUUUCGUUGGUUCUAGGACCGAAGUAAUGAUUAAUAGGGAUAGUUGGGGGCAUUAGUAUUUAAUUGUCAGAGGUGAAAUUCUUAGAUUUAUGAAAGACUAACUACUGCGAAAGCAUUUGCCAAGGAUGUUUUCGUUAA